GACGAACGCUGGCGGCGUGCUUAACACAUGCAAGUCGAACGGAAAGGCCCUGCUUUUGUGGGGUGCUCGAUUGGCGAACGGGUGAGUGACACGUGAGUAACCUGCCCUUGACUUUGGGAUAAAUUCAGGAAAAUGGGGCUCAUACCGGAUAGGAGCUCCUGCUGCAUGGUGGGGGUUGGAAAGUUUCGGCGGUUGGGGAUGGACUCGCGGCUUAUCAGCUUGUUUGUGGGGUAGUGGCUUACCAAGGGUUUGACUGGUAGCCCGCCUUAGAGGGUGACCAGCCACAUUGCGACUAAGGGACGGCCCAGACGCCUACGGGAGGCAGUAGGGGGGAAUAUUGCAGAAUAGGCGGAAGCCUGAGGCAGCAACCCCGCGUGCGUGAUGCCGUCCUACGGGUGGUAAACCGCUUUCGCCUGUGACGAAGCGUUAUUGACGGUAAUGGGUAAAAAAGCACCGGCCAACUACGUG
rnacentral:rRNA from 1 species